ensembl:lncRNA
UUUAAAAGAGAGAGGUUCCUAUGUAUGUCAGUAAAUUAUAUAUUAAAAAAGAGAGGUUGCAAAUGAUGCCAAAAUACUGUAACUCUGAGAAGUUUUUUUUUUUUUCUCUUACCUGCAUAUAUUGCUAAGCUUAUGACCGUUCUUUGUGCUACAGGUGCUUUGGCGGAGCAUAGCAUUCUUAGUUGACAUGACUACAAAGCUAUAGUAUGAGAGAAUCCCUGUGUCGAAGCAUGUUUGUCAGCCUGUGCCUCGGUUGGAAGCGGUGGAACCUAUAAAAAGAUGGUGAAAAUCCCUGCAGACACGAUGUCACAAAGGGCAAAGCUUCAAUCCAAAGUGACACCAUCUGUGCGGCAUGAACUCAGGAACAAGUUAAUAACGUUGUAGAUUCUGGGCCUGCAUUUAAUCUGCUUCAUCUGCUAAACAUUUGUGCUUGACAACAGUAUACACAGCAGAGUAUCAGCUGCUGAUCACAUGUCUUGCACAGAGCUGUGUCUCAUUGCUACAGCCCUUGGUCAUAAGAUACCCUAUCUUUAUCGCCAGCCUAGCAUAUCUAAAUUCUGCUUUCAUAUCCUGCCUUCUUGUGCCAGGUUUAGCAAAUAACUGAGAUAAUUUAAAUAUCAGGGCUUGUAACACCCAGAAAACAUGUUAAGACCCUCAAUACAAGACAAAUUACGACUAUCAUAGGAGGGAGUGUCAUCUCUGAGACUAGUCAACCAAGGACUGUCCUACUUGUCCUAAGAAUGGCUACCUUGAAUACCAACCUAGAGCCUUCAUCCAGUAGCUGAUGGAAGCAGAAGCAGAGAUCCACAGCUAAGUACUGAGCUGAAUUCCUGGAAUCCAGCUGUAGAGAGGGAGACGUGAUGAGCAAAGGGGUCAAGAACAGGCAGGAGAAACCCAGAGAAUACAGCUGACUUGACCAAGUGGGAUCACAUGGACUCCAGUUGUAAAACUGGGGAACUAGCAUUGGACUGAACCAGGCCUUCUGAAUGUGGGUGUCGGUUAGGAGGCCUGGGCUGUCUACGGAACCUCUAACAGUGGAACCAGUAUUUAUCCCUAGUGCACAAAUGGACUUUGGGAGCCCAAUCCCCAUGGAAGGGGUUACUUUCUCAGCCUAGGUCCUCCCCCAAAUGAUAUGACAGACUUUUAAUGAUCCCCCUUGAAUGCCUCACCCUCCUUGGGGAGUGGAUGGGGGUGUUAUGGGGGUG